rnacentral:rRNA from 1 species
UGGGGAAUAUUGGACAAUGGGCGCAAGCCUGAUCCAGCCAUGCCGCGUGGAUGAUGAAGGCCUUAGGGUUGUAAAAUCCUUUCGUUGGGGACGAUAAUGACGGUACCCAAAGAAGAAGCUCCGGCUAACUUCGUGCCAGCAGCCGCGGUAAUACGAAGGGGGCUAGCGUUGUUCGGAUUUACUGGGCGUAAAGCGCGUGUAGGCGGACUUGUAAGUUGGGGGUGAAAUCCCGAGGCUCAACCUCGGAACUGCCUCCAAAACUACAAAUCUGGACCUAAGUAGAGGCAAGUGGAAUUGCGAGUGUAGAGGUGAAAUUCGUAGAUAUUCGCAGGAACACCAGUGGCGAAGGCGACUUGCUGGACUUAUGGUGACGCUGAGACGCGAAAGCGUGGGGAGCAAACAGGAUUAGAUACCCUCGUAGUCCCUGAGCGGGCUGGCAAGGCGCAU